GCUGGGCGUGGUGACUCACGCCUGUAAUCCCAGCACUUUGGGAGGCUGAGGCAGGUGGAUCACCUGAGGUUGGGAGUUCGAGACCAGCCUGGCCAAUAUGGUGAAACCCUGUCUCUA
rnacentral:SRP_RNA from 1 species